rnacentral:lncRNA from 1 species
UAAUAUCAACAACAAAAGGUCAAAUCAUAUGCUCAUUCAUGAAUUACCUUAGACCUGGAACAUGCCAUUAAUCGAACAACAUUGAAAGUUGAGGCGAUUCUGUUGAGAAUACUCAAGAAUUUAAACACAGAUCCUUUCGAGACAUAUAUUGUAUACACUCAAUAUAUUUUUAACAAAGUCCAACUAAAUUACUACAACUAUUGAGUAUUGCAAACUGUUAAACUAUACAUGAAAAAACUAAACUAAUUCAAACCUUCAAACACCUUAAUAUUGUGACUAAAUUAUAGAAUAGAACAUCAGUUUCAGCAUGCUUAAACAAAAGCUAGAAGGAAAGCUACAAAACCAAAAAAUAAUAGAAGACAUCAAGCAAAAGAAGAUAUUUUGUUCUAUUCCAUGCAAACAUGUUACAACUUUAUUUUUUUCAUUUCAAAGUUCAUGAAGAUGCCUGGAUAUAACAAAGAAUAAAAUGAGAAAAUUUCUGAGAAUCAACAGAAACCAACAAGAAAACUUCAAUAGAAAUCAACAGCAUACAACAGCAAACCACACAGCUCCAAAGCUUAAGCCAUAUUUUAACUUAGAGAAUCAGAAAUCACAGAAAUUUGCUCGAACUUUCUUAAGAAACUAGAAAAGUUUGAUCAACUCCAAUGGAACAGUAGAGUUGAGCAUUUUUGAGUAUUUUUUAGGGUCUAAAAAUCUAUCUUAAUGAAAGAGUAACUUUUUCUUUAUAUAGGGCAUACAAAAAACAGUAUCAAAAGAAUAUUCUGACCUAAAUUCCUUUAAUAGUACAACAUAUUGACAGAGAAUAAUGUACAACUAUCUAUUUUUCAGUAUCUUUUCCAACAAAUUCUGGACAACUGAUACAUUUGUAUAACUUUCCCCUUAAGUCUAGGCCAAUUGUCAAGGCCAAAUGGCCUAAAACAGACCCAAGUCAUGGCCAACUGGCCUAGGACAGACCCAAGGCCAAACCAAAGUAAAACAACUACUACAAAUUAACCCAGUAAAUCAUUUGACCGUGCUGAAAUUACUUAGUAACCUAAUCAACUAACAACUAAAUUUAAUCAACCUAAGAGAUAUACAAAUCAGUCGAUAAUUAAUUAAUUUAGCUCAAGUAAAAUCAAAUCAUUUGACCAUGCUGAAAUUACUUAGUAACCUAAUCAACUAACAACUAAAUUUAAUCAACCUAAGAGAUAUACAAAUCAGUCGACAAUUAAUUAAUUUAGCUCAAGUAAAUGAAACUACACGACUGACCAAACAAAAACAACGACUUUAAACAAUCUAAAAACUAAUUCAAACAAGUAAAAUGCUUGAAUUGAUUUAAAUAAGUAUACUAAUUUGAACAACUAAAUACUUAAAACAAAUUCAAACAAGUAGGUCAUUAGAAAUUAAUCCAAACAAGUAAAGGAGAAAAUCAAAAAAAUAAAAACAAAAACAAAAAUAAAGAAAAGAAAGAGGAAGGUACUGUUUUUUUUUUUACCGGAAUGAAUUGUCGACUGAAGCAACCCAACGAACAAGGAAGAUGAUGAACUUGGCCAGGCAUCACUGGUUUGGUCAGGAAGCGGACGACUCCUGAAACGAACCAAGACUAACGCUAAUCAAUUAUUAUUAACAAAAACAAUUGCUUAACAAAAGUCUCGAGUCAAAUCGAGCCUUGGAAGCAUAGAAAUCGGAGUUAGGAAUGGAUUAGGUUUUUUUCAGAAUUUCAGAUUUAAAACUAAGAAAAAUGGGUGGAGAUUCAAAGAAAGCUAAUGGUAUAUUUGUGCUUAGGGGGAGAGGGGGUAUGAGGAGCGUAGGGUGAAAAUUUAGGGUUAUUUGGUCGAUUUAGGGGUUUGGAUGUAAACUUCAGAUUUGGAUUUAAAGGAUUUGGGUAGUGAUUUGGGGGAAAUUAAUGAUGGAUUAAUACUUAGAAGAUGGUGGGAAGUAUAGAGGAUGAAUUUUGGGUGUUUUGGUGAAGCACUGCCGCCGUAAGGAGAUUUUCGCGCGGCAGAGCCGGCGAGGGAUUAUAGGACGGCUAGGGUUAUAUGUUUAGAGAGAUGAAGACGGAAGUGAGGGGGGGUCUCUAGGGUUUCAAGGGAUUCAGACAGUUUUAACCUAAAGGAUGUGCAGUUGCGAGCCGUUGGAUCAAAAGAAU